GUACCUACGGGGGGCAGCAGUGGGGAAUAUUGCACAAUGGGGGAAACCCUGAUGCAGCGACGCCGCGUGAGUGAAGAAGUAUUUCGGUACGUAAAGCUCUAUCAGCAGGGAAGAAAAAAGUCCUUUGGACUUUGGACGGUACCUGACCAAGAAGCCCCGGCUAACUACGUGCCAGCAGCCGCGGUAAUACGUAGGGGGCAAGCGUUAUCCGGAUUUACUGGGUGUAAAGGGAGCGUAGACGGCGAUGCAAAUCUGAAGUGAAAGGCGGGGGCCCAACCCCCGGACUGCUU
rnacentral:rRNA from 1 species